CAACCCUCAAGCGCUGCUUGGUAUUGGAUGCCACCGGAUGCGGUGCAUCUCAAAAGCAUUGGCAGUGGCUUCCAGCUUCUAGUGUAGUAAUUUUCUUGCUUUGGAGUUUGGAUGUCUGCCAGCCAGAACCCCUAAUAUAUCAAU
rnacentral:misc_RNA from 1 species